rnacentral:ribozyme from 12 species
AUGUGGGGAUCAUGCUAGCCCUGUAAACCACAUCAGUAGCAAGGACUACGAGGAACCUCUCAUGGGAAAGGGGCUGCCAGAAAUACCCAAGCGUACCAGACAUGAACUCGGCCUGGACAUCAUAAGCCUGGAAGUUGUCCUUCGCCAUGCUCAGCUGCUUGGUCAGUCGCUUAAGGUCGCUGGCG